GACGAACGCUGGCGGCGUGCUUAACACAUGCAAGUCGAGCGGUAAGGCCCCUUUUCGGGGGGUACACGAGCGGCGAAACGGGGUGAGUAACACGUGGGUGACCUGCCCUUAGCUCUGGGAUAAGCCCGGGAAACUGGGUCUAAUACCGGAUAUGACUCCAUGACGCAUGUUGUGGGGGUGGAAAGCCUUGUGCGGCUAGGGAU
rnacentral:rRNA from 1 species